rnacentral:lncRNA from 1 species
UCAGCACCCACUUGGGGGUGUGGUGUGGUGGCAAGAAACCCCACUACCAAGUGGGUUACCCGUGUGUGCUUAUAAUGUAUCUCACAUGAAGUUGUGUGGUGAGUAUUUGGGUGAUGUCCUAUAGUAUGCCAUAUAAACUGUUGUGGUAAUAUGCCAUAUAAACUGUUGUGGUAAUAUUGUUGUCAUGCUGUAAAAUUAGUAUUUUUUAUGACUGGGAUUUUCUAAAAUUCAAUAUUUAAACUUUAGAAUAUAUUUGGCCGAGAACGGUUCAUUUGGUAAAUUGUGUCAACAAGAUCAUCGAAGCAAAAAAUCAAGUUGACGUAGUCGCAUGGUCCAAUCACAUUUGCUACAAAAAAUGGACGAGUUAUUUUAAAAAUUAUAUUUACUAUCCCGACAAAAAUUAACCUAUCAUGAGGCUACAACAGAGUCCAUGUAAAGUAGUGAACCUUAAUAAACCAACUAAUCACAGAGAUGGCUUUGUUCGUUUCUCAUUUCAGUGCAUUUUCCAUAAUGAAUUCUGAGAAAAUUUUAAAAUUAUUCCAAAGAAAUCCAAAAGAGUAGACAACUUCCUCAACAUUGUGUCAACUAAUAAUUCUGUCAGCGACAACUAUACUAUCGACAAAUGUCGACACUAUUAACAAACGUUUACGAAACUUCCUUCCAGACGUCCAACAUACCAAGUUUUCAUGUCGACACGACGACACUGUACCCAUCACAUGUCGAUACGAUAAAACAAAAUUCCACCACCAAGUCUCCUGUAUAAAUUGUGACACUAUAAGAAGAUCCUGACGACACUUCCUUCCAGAAGUGCUAUGCAACGAAUAAAGUAUCAACACUUUUAAGAGAAUAAAUCACCUCUCUUGUACACUGUCCAAAAGUGAAUAAAUUAUUCACUCAACUACCUAUAGCAUGCACCCACUCAUAACUACUAAGUACACUCACUAACUCUCAACACUUCCCUCAAGUUUGAGAGUAAAUAUCAGACAGGUCUAGCUUGUUACUCACAAACUCUAAUUGUGGUUUGCACAAUAAUUUUGUGAACAUAUCAGCGACAUGUACUCUAGUGGAAACAAACGGAGUAGUAAUGAUCCCCUUCUCAACCCGCAUAGGAACUAGAUGACAAUUAAUCUCAAUAUCUUAGUCCUCUCAUGAAACACAUGAUUAGAAACAAUACGAAUGUGAAUGGCGGCUUGAUUGUCACAAUACAUAUCCAUAAGCAAUUUCACUACAAAUCUUAACUCCUCCAAAAGAUGCCUUAUCCACAUAAGCUCACACAAAGUAUGAGCCAAGCUGUGUACUCAGUUUCAGCACUAGACUGUGCAACUACAGUCUGCUUCUUACUCUUUCAAGUAACGAGAGUGCCACCUAAAAAAGUGCAAUACCCUAUAGUAGAACUCAUAUCUAAUAGAGAUCCAGUCCAAUCGAAAUCGGUGAACGCCUACAUAAAUGACCAUGCACUCCAUAGAACAAACAAAGAACAGGGUGCAUCUUAAGAUAUUGCACAAUCCUCAAGGUUGUGGGUUCAAACACGAGGACGGCCACUUUGUGCGUAUAAUACCAAAUGUUAUCCCUCCCGGUUAUCAUUAAUUGGUAGGCGCAGUUUUUCAACGAUCAUAGCAUGGUGUUGAGAUAACUUCGCCUGAAAGUAUUAUUGGUGUAUAUCUUCGCUGGAUUAUUGGAGAAAUCAACGCUUUGGAAUCUAAUUUGGCGUAUUUUAAUACAAAUGCUGGCAAUGGUAUUAAGCAGAGCUUUGCACUAGAUAGACAGAGUGGGAAGAGGUGUUACAUGCUAGGAGCGAGGCGGCUCUCAAUUGAAUGGGGUAAUAACACAACAUACUGGAAAUGGGCAUCUCAUCCGGACUCCAGGUUCUCUCUCUCUCUCUCUCUGUGUGUGUGUGGGCGCGAUUGCUAGAAAUGGAAAGAACUCGUGAAAUCUAUGAAAACUUCAUUUUGCUCUUCGUCUGCAAGUGCAUGUAGAUUGUAACAUCGAUUUCUUUCUUUCAUUUUUUUAAUUGUUUAGCUGUAAGAGAAUUUCUCAUGGAAUAUUACUCCAAUAUAAACUCCAGUAGUUUGGGUUUGGAUGAGAUUCUCGAGUGGCUCAGCUUUUGCAUGUGUGCUGUCUCGAAUGGAGCCAAGAUGACACACGGGGUGUGUCUCCAAGACCACAUAACGUUGCCUACCUUUGUGUUUAAAGAACAACCAGAAGAGUUUUCGGGUUCAAGUGUUCCAUGAAGGCAUCGGUUGGCUAUGUCGGGAAGAAGGGGUUGGAGCUAGACAUGAGAGAGUUGUUUAUCUGGAAUCAAACAAUUCUCUACUUUUGGCAUUACAAGAUACGAUCACUUCCAUAUGAAGAGAAGAUGGUUGGAUGGAGAUCAAGUUGGGAGAAAUAUUCAUUGACCUAGCUGAUGAUGGUAAGGGGGAAAUGAUGUUUAAGGAGGUGGAGAGGCUCGGCCCCAAGUCCGGCCUCAUUAUCCAAGGAAUUGAACUUCGGCCAAAAAAUGGUACAUAACAUUCAUGUAACUAUUUGGUGACUACCCAAUGAGAAACUUUCAAAUAGCGCGCCAGUGGGAACAACUUUGUUAGGUUGUGAGAGACGAGUUGUCAUUGUUCCCAUAGAAUGCUGUCACUCAAUAUUUGUUUAUAGUGUUCGAGUCUUGGCCUAAAAAUGGUACAUAGUAUUGAGCUUCGGCCUAAAACUAGAGAAAAGUAUUGAACUUUGUCCUAAAGUAUCUGGUUGUCUUGUUAUGUGCCUAUGAUGGCAAUUUCUAUUGAUGGUUCAUUUUGAAAGCUUUGAACUUUUGCUUAAAAUAAUGGUGGAAUGUGUGUGCUGGACUAGGCUAUUUAAUAGUUAAUUGUUGUUGAAGUAAAGAUGAUACUUGAUAAAAUAAAGUCUUUCCAUUAACCGUCACCUAAUUAGAUCACAUUUGUCUCUUCAAAUUUCUUCACACAAUUGAAAUGUGUUCUUUUGUCAAUUUAGUUUCUUUUCUUCCCUCUCUUUAAGAUCCAUCUCUUCCAAAAACUAAAAGACAAAACAAAAUAAUUUCCUUGUAUACUGAUGACCCUUCAAAUGUUAAGAAAUAUAUUGUAAUUUUACAUAUAAAUACAAAAAAUAAAAUGUAUUUGAUGAAAAAUGUAGUACAUAAAUCAUUACCUUUUUCAAAUGCACUAAACAUUUUAAGCGAAGCCUAACUUUGCAAUUUAUUUAUUUAUUUAUUUUGAAGAAUUUUAUUUUUUAAGAAGUUAAAUACUAUACAGUUAAACAAUCUCAAUUUUUUGAGAUUGUCCUUCAACACUUAGGAAUUACCUAAAUGUGAAAAAAGUGAUAUUAUCUCAUCAAUUCAAAAGAGAAGUAUAAUAUGAAAAUAUAUAAUAUUUUAUUUGUUGAUUUUUAAAAACCAAAAACGAUUUUAAGAUAUCUAAAAAUAAAAUAGUAAACAAAUAAAAUGAGUCAUUGAUUGAGAUAAUCCCCAUCAUAAUUACCUAUAUGUCCUUGUAUGCAAAAACAAUAUUUGAGUAAAAGAGAAAUUUGGGUGAAUUCACCGUAAUAAAAAAAAAUGUUAUAUGCUUGGAUCCAGGGCACUCACAAUUGCAUGGGGAAGAUCUCCAUAAAUACUGGACAAUGUUAUCUUCACCCGAGUCAAGUCCUCCUCUCUCUCUCGUUUUCAUUUCUUAUGUGCAUAUUAUUUAGUAUGUGCAGAUUCUCGGAGGUGGCCAGGCUUCAGGCGGUGUGUUGGCUUGAAAUUAAAGGCAAAAUAGAGACUCAUUUCCUCUCCCCAAAGACCUGUUACAUACAUGUGUGCAAAAGCUCCAAAGGAUUUGAUGCCCUCCAUUCACCUCGUUAGCAAAGCUCAAUCUAUGAUGUCUUUUCAAGAAUUCAACCUUCACAUACUUCAUUAGGAUGAAUCUUAAUAAGGCAACCUUUCCCAUAUAUUCUUCCUUGAUAAAAAGCUUCAACCCACUAAAAUUAGAUGCCCAAAUAUCAAGUGACCCAUUCCAAGCUUUGUCUUAAACAAUAGUAUUUAAGUAUUUCAUAAACAUCAUGUGAAUAUCCCAAAGAAAACAUUUCUAUUCUUAGACAUUUUUACAUUAGUCAUAAAAAUUAUCCCAAAGUAUCUUAAUGAAGAGAGAGAGAGAUUUUUUCAUGCUAAUAUUAUAACCUUUGCUAAAAGCUGACCCAAACUCAACAAAAUUAUUCUCAUAUCCGGAACAUAAUAAACAUCCUAAAUAAAUAAGAUUUUCAUUCUUGAGUUGGAUAAUUAAAUCUGACCUUUGCUUUUCACCGGAAAUCUUGGAAUUAGUCACCGAAUGUAACAAAGCAUUGCACCGCUUCAUCAAGUUAACAAACAAAUCUUUUUGCCACACAUAUGAUUGUUUGCCCAUAUCAAGGAAACCACACAUUGCUUUGAUUUUCAUCUGACCCAUUGUAAGUUAGCACAAGGUUUGGCCCAACUCAUGCUUCUUUUUUUCUAAAUAGUUCAAUUGGCCUCACCAACUUCAUUUACUUGGAUUUGAUAACAUUCAUAAAUUGUAUGCCCAAAUGUUUGUGAAAUUAUAGAUUCCACAUUUCUUUUGUCAGACCUAUACCGAUUAUAUAAACGGUUGUAGUUGCCUCCUCCUCUUCCUCUUGUACUCAUAUUACUUUUAAUAAAUUCAUUUUCUUUGCUGACAGAAAAAAAUACAGCGAAGACAGAGAGAGAGGAGAGGAAGUAUGGAUUAUGUGAUUGCACCAUUAGUAGCUUUGCUAUGGAGUUUCAUAUCAAAUGUUAUUUCAGGUAUAAUGACCAAUUGGGUAUCUGAAUUAAUUUCGCACAAGGUCAAAAGAACAUACAACGCCUUGUGGGAGAGAUUCUUUCCUACACAUUGCCAGGAUAUUAUCACAAGAUCUGACUCUACCGUAGUCUUCACCACCAAGCAAGAACUCUAUUACAACUCUCCCAUCCUCCUUGAUGGGGGCAAAAUGGUAUAUUGAAUAUUUCAGUUGCAAACACACACCACCACACACACACAUGUUCAGAUGUGUUCAUGUUGGAAAAUUAUGACAAUUAUAUGCUAGCAUCGAGUCCGUGUAAAGUAUGCUAUAAUUAUGUAUUCAUAGGCUCCAUAAACAUUCGUAUCGUGAUAUCAUAGUGGCUCUACGUAAUUCAUGGUAGCAUAGUUUCAUGAUGUUUUUCUUUAUGUGGUUUCUAUGCUUUCCUAUUUGGUAUUGGGGUUUUGCUGCAAUUAUGAUAUAUGCAGUCAUACACGAUUCACAUUUUUUAGCACGCAGCCUAACAUUCUGCAAAAAGCAGAACUACUAUUUUGAAUUUUAAUGAGGUUUAUUAUAAAUACAGAAACUGUUAACCGCCAUAAUUGUUUUCAAAUAUGUUUGUCAAAGUAAGUUUUUUUAAGUGUGAUACAUCUUCAUAAAUUCUAUAAAAAUUUAGAACCUAAUUUUCAAUCUAAAUAAAAACUGGUAAAAUAUUGACAUGCCUACAUACUUUUUGACAACAUUCAUACCAACAGCCAUUUAUUUGUUGAUGUUAUGUCCUCUGAAGUAGUAUACUACUUAUAAAAGAUGAAUCCUAAAGAGACAUUCCUGCAAUCCGGCAUCCUUGCCAGGUAAUUGGAAAUAUUAGCAAUAACAAAAUGAAGUUCACGUGAGAAUACCAAGAACAGAGACAAAAAGGAGACUAGGAUUUCAUAGAUUUUAGAAUAAUAAUAUAAGAAAGAUAAAAAAAGUUUAAAUAACCCUAAUAAUAAAGAUAAUAAAUUACUAUUCUACCCUUACUGCUAAUAACAAAAUAAAUAAAUAAAUAAAACAUAAAUAUAAUUAUAAAAGGCCCCCUCAAACUCACGAUUGCAGUCGUAAAAAUAUCAGGAGUGCAACUUAAAAAACGAAAGCGCCAAAGAGAGGUAAAGUGACCAUGCGAUAACAAACAGCAAGCUGCAUAGAUGAAGAGACAAAAGGCUCAAACUAAAAUGGUGUCAUACUUGCAAAUAAUGACAAGUAGAUGACUAUCAAUCUCGAUAUACUUGGUCGCUCAGAAAAUAGAAUUAUGGCAAUUUGAUAGCACUCUCGUGUCACAAAACAUAGGAGUGGGAAAGAAGCAAAAAACACGCAUGUCAGCCAGUAACCACCGUAACCAAACAUCUCUGUUAUAGAGCCAUAGCACGAUACUCAGCUUCUGUUGAAGAUGUUGAACAACAAACUGCUUCUGAUUUUUUUCAAGACAUAAGAGAAGUACCCAAAAAGAUAUAGAAAAUCCAGUGGUAGAUUUGCCGAUCAAUAGGAUCAUUUCGCCCAAAUUCAGCACCAGAAUAUCGCACACAAUGGUAAAGAUGAAGUGGAAAGGUAGUAAAAGACUUUGAAAAUGAGGCCACGUAGGUACAUCAAAAUACGAAGACGACAAACCCAAUGAAAAACAGUAGUCGGGAGUAAGCAACUGACUAACAAUAUAAACAGCAUAUGCAAUAUCUGGACGAGUAAUAGUGUCACGACACAACCAUUUAUACACGUGGGGUCCUCCACCUUGCUACAGGACUUGUCAUCGGACCGCGCAGUGAGUCUCCCUCACUAAGGCCUACAUUCACUUCAGUUUAGGGAUUUUCAUUUUAUUCAGUAUUAUUCUUGAAUGCAAAACAAAUAUGCGGCAAACGUAUUUAAAUAAACUGACGUGUCAUCAGAUAGAAAAGUUAUUUACCUUUAUAUACAACUACGGUUUUGGCAACAGUCGGCACAACCAUUAUCAAAAAACUAUACAAAACCCGGUCAAAAAGAAACUAAAAUUCUUAUACUGCCUUUUUACAUACAUAAGACAACAAAAAACUGACUAAGAGUCAUCUACCUCAUCUUGCCCCACCUAGUUCUCGUACCUUGAAAUGGUUACGUACGAUGACGGUCUUAAGCACUAGGAGAGUGUGAGUCAUCGUUAUAUAAUACAAAACCAGGGGGUGCCCAUGAAAUUAUAAAUAUCAAUUCAUUUCAACAUAAAAUAAUUUAAUUGCCAUUCCUUUGCAUUUCAAUCAUUGGCAUCAGCUGGCCCAUUUCUGAUUUCAUAUCAAGAAUUAAAACUAUUGGAUUGACAAUUGCGACACAUCACCUAUUAAACGAACCCCGUAAUCAGGGCGCGACCCUAAUUAAAUAUAGCAUGAUUAUCACCAGACGAUAUCUGGCUAUGAUACCACCUUUUUCAUCACCUCUAGCGAAUUUCUUUUCCCCUAGCGGUAGGGGGGCAUCGUGCGAACUAGUGUUAUCUAAAUCACAUUUUCACAGGUAAUCAUUUUAAACAUUUCAUGACACAUUUUAAAAAACAAUAUAGCAUGCAUUAUCAGUUAAAGACCACACAUUUCGAUAAUUCAAGCAUCAACUGCUUCAUCAUAAAAGUCAUUUUCAGUGAAGUAAAAAUAACACAAGACGCAACCGAACGGUAUGUCCAAAUCUUUCCACACGUCGUGAGCUAAGUUCCUCGGAUUCGGAUCCUACGUUUAAUAGUCGAAUCAGUAAAUAUAAUAUUAAUAUAUUAAUUUGAUAAUAUAGACAACAUUUUUAAAAUUAAGUAAGGUCAAGUAAUAUUUCACGUAAUUUCGGAUUACAUUUUUUAGAUUAGCCCCCAGAGAAUGUUCUUCAUUACAUUUGUUUUUUAAAACAGUAGGUUAAUUAUACUUCGUAUAACUUAUCUAGAGAUCAUUGACUUCGAGAUUUUACACAAUACACAAGAAAUUAUAUCUAUUUAUAGUAAAAGAUAUAAAAUUUCUAAGGCUUACCUAGAUAUUUGUAGAAAUUCGUUCAACCAUUCUCUCCGCACAAAAAUGGCUCACUGAUAGCCGCUUAAUCAAUAAUUAUUUUGAGAACCGAAAAUAUUCAAAAGUUUAUAAAAUACAUAUGUAAUAACUAGACAUAUACAUUUAUAACAAUAAAAGUUCAGAGUUUCUAUCAAAGGCAACUAUUUAUAAAAUUUAUAAAAUUUCUUUUCGUUGAACCAUUUUUCCCGUUUUCGGAAUCGUAUUACAUGUCAAUUGUUUGGACUAUUUAGACUCUUAAUUUCACAAAAUGUUCUAAAUGAAAGUUUUAAGAUAAUUUUGAUAUCUUUCCAACUCACUUAAUAUCAAGUAAUUUGGAAAUAUCGUAUGAGAAAGUAGGAGCAAAUUACAGUGGCUUAUUUUAGUGAUAACUAGAACUCCGAGUGUUCGAAUGUUAUUUAAAAAUACGUAGAAGUGCAAUAUUUUUAGGGGUUAUUUAGAAGGUUUAAAUGAUACUAGAUAUGGUGUUCUAGAAAUAUCAAAGAAAGGAGAAGAAAAGAAAAAGAAUGUACCUAAUGGGUGAUUUUCAACCUUCUUUUCGUACUGUUCUAGCUGUUUUCUUCUUUCUCUUGUGUGUGAAGUAACAGUGAAUUUUAUUUGUCUUUGAAUCACACACACGCAUGCCGUUAGUAGGGAUAUCUACUAUUCCCUUCUCUUUUGUAUUCCACACACACACGUGCACUUGUGCAGUUUUUUCCUUUAUUACCUUGUGACACACCACACAAUUGCAAUGUCACACGGGACAGCUGAUACCAGCAGCUCACACACACUCACCGGGCACGGUUCAACAAAUACACAGUUGCAACAUUAUACUAUGCCAUAUUGGACAAAUCCGUGUCAUCAUGUUUUCACCAGAGUCGUGCCGCGGUCUGUAACGUGUAGUAUUAUAGUGUUCCAUUUUUCUCCUAACUUAUAAAGGAUUUCGGAAAAAAAAACAUAUUAAUUAAAGUCAAAUUAAAUUCUGGCCCUUAUUAUUUAAUUAUUUUCGCAGGUCGGGUAUUACAAAUGGAGUAGACCAAAUUCCAAUAAUAGUGGGAUAUAAGAAGGAUCAGGUAAAGGAGUAUAUCAGUUCGGAGAAUACCGAAUAUUAAGUUCUCAAGAGGAGUCAUGGAAACAGUCUAAUAUCGUAAGAGAGCAUGCUCUCAAAAAUUUUUGCAAUGUAUUUAGACGUGAAUUAUAUUAACCCUUAGCGUGAAAAGGCUACUUUAUACCAAAAAACAACGUUGUAGAGGUCCCAAUCCUUCAUUUCAAUCGAGAAGCCAAUUCUAAUUUCAAUCGGUCAAUUCCAGCCACAUAACACUGUACUCACCAUAUCAUCAACAUAUAAUGAAAGACGAAUACGGCCAAGCAGUAGAAACUUUAUAAACGAGCAGAAUUCCUGAUUGUUGGAAUGAAACCAAGCGAGGUAAUCACCAGGUGGGGGAGUCCAUAUAAAUGGUGUGUCUAAGGCUUGUGGGAACCACCAGGUAGGGGAGUCAUAUAAAUCUUCGAGAUCACCAAUUCAAAGAAGGCUUCUUAAAAUCAUUUGAGAAAAUGCACUGAAGAAUAGAGCAACGGCACUAAGAGUAUGAAUAGAGUCAUUUUUAUAAUUGGAGCAAAAGUCUUUUUAUUAUCCAUACCAACUGUGGGAAAAAACUUUGGCAACCAAACGGCCUUGUAUCGCUCGAAUAGAAACCAUCAGCAUUGGUUUUGAUUUUGUAAACCCCCCCCCCACGAGAACCAAUUUUACUAGCCAGAUGGUGGUAAAAGGUACAAAUUCCAGGUACCAGUGUUAUGCAAAAGAGAAAGUCCUCAGUCAUACUUGCUGGCCAAAGGGGAUCAAGUGUUGAAUCAAGCCUCGAUUUAGAUAUAAAAAAAAAGCCUAUUAGUUGUUAAUAUGGAUUUCUAGUGUGCAAACUUUCUAAGCAUCGCGUUCUAUGACCUUAAUUGAUCAAAAAGAGCUCCAAAAACACUUUUUGAAAAAAAAUGCGACACCUAGUUUGGUGGGUAAAACACCUAUAAAGCCAGAAAUAAUAUUGAUAUAUAUGUGAAAAAACCUCAAAUAAUAAUGAACCUUAAAAUGGAUAUAAGUUCCAAGAUCAUAUGCAUCCAUUAGAAAAAAUAUCAUGAAGGAAGGAAGUCGACCGAUGCCUAACUGACCAAAAAAAAAAAAAGAUGAUGAGAACACAUUAUGGUAGAAAGUGUCGAAUACCUAGUAUAAUUGUUGGGUAGACACAAAUGUUCAGUAACCAAACCUCAGAAUUUCAUUAAGACAAUGUGUCGACACCAGUAUUGACACAAGGUCAGUGGCAAAAUUAAAAGUUUUUUGAAACAUCAAGUGUCGGACACAACAUCAGAGCACCAAAUGUCAGUGUCAAAACUCAGGUAUCUGGAAAUGAAGAGUGUCGACACCUAUAUCAGGCCACCAAUGUCAGUAGCCAAAACCUAGAAAUAUUGAACAGCACGUGUCGACACAACCUCAGCACCAAAUAUCAGUAGCCAAACCCAGAAUAAGGAACAAAAAUGUGACACCCACCUCAACACCAAAUGUUAGUAGGCCAAACCCAGAAAUAUAGAACAACAAAUGUCGACACCAAUUCUCAGCACAAAAGUCAGUAAUCGAACCCAGAAGAUUGGAAAACUCAAAGUGUCGACACCAACUCAGCACCCCAAAAGCAGUAACCAAACCCAGAAGUUUGGAACAUUUAGUGUUGACACCAACAGCAGCACAUGGAGACAGUUUCUACAAAAAAAAAUGGAUAGCUUGAAGUGUCGACACCAGAAAAUGAAAGUGUACGAACCUGAAAGCUGGCUUGUCGACACUAACAGUAUUAUUUCAAACGCAGAGUAUUCAGUACAGCAUUUUAAAUGCCUCCCAACUACCACCAACGGCUCAUUAUUAUUCAUUUCAAGCUAUUAAAUAACAAGCCUCUAAAGGGCAUUUAAACACAAGAAGAGAUAUUAAAAGAAUUGAUUUGAAGAUCUAACAAGCUCAAAUUCAAGAUCUCUUGAACAUUCACUUUUUGUCAUCUUGUGUUAACAUUGAUUAUUUGAUUCCAAGUUAUAUCUACUCUAUUGGGAGAGUUAUUUUUAUCUAGUACUACCUUCAUUAAUCUACCAUUGUAAGUUUGAGUGAGACUGGACAAAUCACUUGGUGAGAGUUUUUGAGUGUUCUUGAUAAAAACCAAACAUUAAGAGUUUUAGUGUUUCUCUUGUAAGUAAAACAUUAAGAACUGUGAGUGGAGCUUGGAUAAGAACACUUGGUGUUAAAAGUGAGCUGAGCACUUGAAAAUCAGCCCCACAUUGUAGUUGCGGUAUUACAAAUAGUGAAAGAUCUUGCGGAGGUAUUGGGAGGACGUUAGAUUAUGAGUUGUGAUCGAACCUACAGUAAAUCUGGUGUGUUCGCUCUCAUUAUCGUGAUGUGCUUCACCCAUUACAUCUAUUACAUUCAAAACACCAUUGCAUUGGUUUAUCUUAUAAUUGAUUAAUUUUUAAUUACCUCUAAUUUACUAAUUAUUUUCAAAAAACCCAAUUCACCCCCCUCUUGGGUUUGCCUAUGAAACCAACAUCAAGAACAACCUCUUUAAUAAGAGGCUCAAAAAAGAUGUUGAAUAGUGGCUAAGAAAGAGCAAAAGAACUAGAAUAACAGAAUAAGAAAAAUCGUAGGCAAAUUAGUAAACUUACGAAUCGCCUUUUAAGAUAGGAGGAAGAGGAUCCACAAUCUCAGAAGUUGGCUUAGGUAGGCAGAGGCUGAGGAGGAUCCAUAAUCUCAAGAUGGGUAGGGCGAGGUAGAGGAUGCACACGAUGUGAUCGGAACAUCAGAUACGGAAAUACCAAUGUCUGUAGGGGAUGGAGGAGGGUUGAACACUGGAUCUUGAUUCUCAGAAAAAGAGUCAUGACAAAUAAGGUCAGGAUUUUAGUAAGUUAUGAGUACUAUAAGGAUAGAGAAAAAAGGUAUAUGUUCAAGGAACACAAAUGACGGGACAACAUAUAAUUAUGGUAACAGAUCAAAAUAACGAUAUUCUUUUUGACCCUCACCAUAUCCAAGAAAAAAUACAAAGGCCAGAACGAAAGACCACGUAAUACGUUCUACACGAGGACGAAGUACAAAACAAGCAUAACCAAGACUCGUAAAGAGAAGGAAUUUGAGGACGACCAUGCAAUUUUCAAAAAGGAGAAUAAGAUAUGUGAAAUAUGAAGAUGAUAGGAUCAUAUAAUGACCCGACCGAAACAGUAGGUGAGUGAGAACUGCCUCGCCCCAAAAAUACUAGGAACCAAAGUAAGACAGUAAGAAAGACGGGCAAUUUCAAACAAUUAUACCGAUAAUCAUUUUAGCCACACUAUUUUGCUAUGGCGUAUCAGUGACAAGAGAAUUGAUGAAUAAUGCCAUUUAAGCAAGCACUCAGAAAAUCAUUAGAAGUAUAUGCACCACACCUAAAUCACACCGAAAACAUUUGGUAACAGCAGAAGUUGUGUUUCAGAGAGCAAAAGGAUUAUAAAUACCUAAAAAUUCAAAACGAUUUUCAUAAGAUUAACUCAACAAUAACGACUAUAAUCAUAAAUAAAAGAAACAUAAUAAUGAGACCAGCCUUUGGUUAGCAAUAGGACACCGUCCCCACAAAUCAAAAUGGACUUAAAGCAAAGGUGACAUAGAAUAAGAGAUACUUCAAUUAAAAAGGUAGAGGCCAAAAAAUUUUGCUAGUUACAAACCACUGCAAGUAGAAAGAUCAUGUGCUGACAAAU